ACCUACGGGGGGCAGCAGUGAGGAAUAUUGGUCAAUGGUCGGGAAACUGAACCAGCCAAGCCGCGUGAGGGAGGAAGGUACAGAGUAUCGUAAACCUCUUUUGUCAGGGAACAAAGGCGGGGACGUGUCCCCGGAUGAGUGUACCUGAAGAAAAAGCAUCGGCUAACUCCGUGCCAGCAGCCGCGGUAAUACGGAGGAUGCGAGCGUUAUCCGGAUUUAUUGGGUUUAAAGGGUGCGCAGGCGGUCUGUUAAGUCAGCGGUCAAAGCCCGGGGCUCAACCCCGGCCCGCCGUUGAAACUGGCAGG
rnacentral:rRNA from 1 species